UGGGGAAUAUUGCACAAUGGGCGCAAGCCUGAUGCAGCCAUGCCGCGUGAGUGAAGAAGGCCUUAGGGUUGUAAAACUCUUUCACCGGUGAAGAUAAUGACGGUAGCCGGAGAAGAAGCCCCGGCCAACUCCGUGCCAGCAGCCGCGGUAAUACGGAGGGGGCUAGCGUUGUUCGGAAUUACUGGGCGUAAAGCGCGCGUAGGCGGGCUGGUUAGUUGGGGGUGAAAUCCCUUGGCUCAACCAAGGACGUGCAGUCGAUACUGGCAGGCUCGAGUCCCGGAGAGGGUGGUAGAAUUCCCAGUGUAGAGGUGAAAUUCGUAGAUAUUGGGAGGAAUACCGGUGGCGAAGGCGACCGCCUGGACGGGUACUGACACUGAGGCGCGAAAGCGUGGGGAGCAAACAGG
rnacentral:rRNA from 1 species